rnacentral:misc_RNA from 1 species
CGAAGAAGAGUGAGGAAGUUACUAAAAUUGACUCUGAACUGAAAUACAAGGCUCAACUCUUGGAUGAAGCCAAUGAAAUUGUAAAGAAACAAGAAAUUGAGAUUCAAGGACUAAAAAAUGCUCUCCAAGAGAAAGAAGAAGAACUGGAAGUUUCUAUGACUCUUAGAAGACUUGAAGAGGAGAAGUUAAAAGUUGCAGAGGCCAAUUUAGAGAAGCAGACAAUGG